rnacentral:lncRNA from 1 species
AAGUUUACAUCAGAAAGGCUGCCCUUCACUAAUUCUUCAUUGAGGACAUGAGAUGCAUUAAUGAAUCGAGAACAGAGCACCAGAACUUAAACAGGAAAUAUCAGUGUAUGGCUUCAUCUUUCUAAUCCCUCACUUGUAAGGAGAAGUGCUUGGGACCACAUGUCCCUGUGACACCAUCAGCCAGGCAACGUUGUCAUGACAUAAUUUCCCAUUGGUUCUAAAGUGGUUGUUCUAAGGUGUCAUGGCAUUUACGGCUCAGCCUUUGACCUGGAAAUUGAAUGAAGUUUGCCACCUUGAAGGACAUAUACAUUUUCUGAACUCACUGAAGACUCGAGGACUGCAGGGAGAGGACUCCAAAAGAGCUAAGAGCAUCACACCUGGACCUUCCACUUACUGUUUAUGUUACCAAAAGCAUGAUCUUCUAAUUGCAACCAAGGCUCAUUGGAAAACAGGUGCCUGUACUUAUACAGUUUUGCAAAAUUCCAAAAACACACCUACACAUAAGAUUCACUGCAGUUUCCAGCUGAAAUGA